rnacentral:rRNA from 1 species
UACGAAGGGGGCUAGCGUUGUUCGGAAUUACUGGGCGUAAAGCGCGCGCAGGCGGUCUUCCAAGUCAGGGGUGAAAGCCUGGAGCUCAACUCCAGAACUGCCAUUGAAACUGUUAGACUUGAGUACGAGAGAGGUGAGUGGAAUUCCCAGUGUAGAGGUGAAAUUCGUAGAUAUUGGGAAGAACACCAGUGGCGAAGGCGGCUCUCUGGCUCGUAACUGACGCUCAGGCGCGACAGCGUGGGGAUCAAACAGG